rnacentral:rRNA from 1 species
GACGAACGCUGGCGGCGUGCUUAACACAUGCAAGUCGAACGGAAAGGCCCUGCUUUUGUGGGUUUCUCGAGUGGCGAACGGGUGAGUAACACGUGAGUAACCUGCCCUUGACUUUGGGAUAACUUCAGGAAACUGGGGCUAAUACCGGAUAGGAUCUCCUGCUGCAUGGUGGGGGUUGGAAAGUUUCGGCGGUUGGGGAUGGACUCGCGGCUUAUCAGCUUGUUUGUGGGGUAGUGGCUUACCAAGGCUUUGACGGGUAGCCGGCCUGAGAGGGUGACCGGCCACAUUGGGACUGAGAUACGGCCCAGACUCCUACGGGAGGCAGCAGUGGGGAAUAUUGCAUAAUGGGCGGAAGCCUGAUGCAGCAACGCCGCGUGCGGGAUGACGGCCUUCGGGUUGUAAACCGCUUUCGCAUGUGACGAAGCGUGAGUGACGGUAAUGGGUAAAGAAGCACCGGCUAACUACGUG